CCUUCGGGAGGCUGCAGUGAGGAAUAUUGGUCAAUGGGCGGAAGCCUGAACCAGCCAAGUAGCGUGCAGGAUGACGGCCCUACGGGUUGUAAACUGCUUUUAUACGGGAAUAACGCGCGUUACGUGUAGGGCUCUGCAUGUACCGUAUGAAUAAGGACCGGCUAAUUCCGUGCCAGCAGCCGCGGUAAUACGGAAGGUCCGGGCGUUAUCCGGAUUUCUUGGGUUUAAAGGGAGCGUAGGCCGCAUGUCAAGCGUGCUGUGAAAUGUCCGGGCUCAACCCGGGCCUUGCAGCGCAAACUGGCGUGCUUGAGUCCGCGACAGGCAGGCGGAAUUCGUCGUGUAGCGGUGAAAUGCUUAGAUAUCACGAAGAACCCCGAUUGCGAAGGCAGCUUGCUGCAGCGCGACUGACGCUGAUGCUCGAAAGCGCGGGUAUCGAACAGGAUUAGAUACCCUUGUAGUC
rnacentral:rRNA from 1 species